rnacentral:lncRNA from 1 species
UGUUGAAAAAGAAAAGGAAAAGCUACUCUCUAUGCCGUGGCUAUAAAAAGGCUGUUUAAAAAGAAGGCUUUACGUUUCCAAGUCCCCGAUUCUCUCGCUCAGGGGACUUUUUGAUAGGAGAGCCUGGUGGGCAGGCCUCCAAGACCUGCGGAUGACGCCUCUGUUGGAAGCCCCUCCCA